rnacentral:rRNA from 1 species
UACGUAGGGGGCAAGCGUUGUCCGGAUUUAUUGGGCGUAAAGAGCGUGUAGGCGGUCAGGUAGGUCCGUUGUGAAAACUCGAGGCUCAACCUCGAGACGCCGAUGGAAACCAUCUGACUAGAGUCCGGAAGAGGAGAGUGGAAUUCCUGGUGUAGCGGUGAAAUGCGCAGAUAUCGGGAGGAACACCGGUGGCGAAGGCGGUUCUCUGGGCCUGUACUGACGCUGAGGAGCGAAAGCGUGGGGAGCGAACAGG